UGGGAAAUGAGUUGACAAGCACAAUUUGGCUGGCGUGAUCAGAGAAUGUUUAAGAGAUAAUGUGAGGGAAGAAAAUGGAGGCAGGAAGAAAAAUAAUAGUAUAUUCGUAUGCUGAGGAGAAGAAUCCAGUUGAAGGGGAAUACUGUGGCUUCAGGCAACAAGAGAGGAAAACUGCCUGAGCCACAUCCUUCAGCAAGAUUCUAUUUCUAGCUGACCCAAAGUCAUGUCUGAGCCUUUAAGGAAAAAAAGAAAACCCUCAAGGAGAUGGUUUUAUUCUUCUUAAAUAUCGAGGUAAAUGCUUAAAAACCAUUCUACCUUCUGGCCAGAAGUAUAAGAUGGUUGGAGAGAAAGAAACCAGAGGACAAGGUAGAUUGGAGAAGAAAAAGGAAAGAAAUACAAAGUUACUAAAGAAUUAUGAACAACAUAGAGGAAGGGAACUAUUUGUAAGACCUGACACUGCGAAGCCAACUGUUUUACUUAGUGCUGAAAGCUAAGGGGAGUUUUAAGUACAUUAGAAUCCAAACAAGACUUUUCAAAUCUCGUAUAAUCUAAAAUAAAAUCAAAGUUGAGUUUAUGGGAGACAUAAAAUGAAAUUUAAAUUAGUUUAUGCUUUUUGAAUCUGACCUCUGUUUAAAAUUAGACUGAAGUAAUUAUUUCCUUUAGUGAGCAAGAAGUGAAAUCAGGAGGAAGACAAAUCUUUUCAAACUGAGAAACAAGAAAGAGGAAGACACAAAAGUUAAACUACAAUAAUGUAGCUUAACAGUAAUGAAAAUCUAUACUGAACACUAAAACUGGAUGACUCUUUACCAUACUUCCAAAUAUGAAACACUUUAUUCAUUCUGCCUCCAAAUUCUACGCUCCAGAAUCCAACCAAUUCAGAGUGAGCUGUCCGAAGAUGAAUGGUUUUCUUAAGAUUUUCCAUGAACGCAUUCAUUUUUGAAGGUUUAAGGUUCCUAAAAAAACAGGAAGGCUAUUCAGGUCAAAGUAUUUCUUGAAUCCACUGACGAAGACUACUGGUCAAAAACAGGACUGGACUGUAACUAAUAUAAAAGGAAGCUAUGACUUAUCCAAUUGCAUUGUACUAUGGGCGUGUACUGCAUAAAGAGUGAAAAGGAAAAAAACUCAACAAAUCAGAUUUGUCUGCAUCAUUGUUUCUAAUUACAGAUGCAAUAUCAAGAAGUAUGCACAUUUAGUGUACCCAAUUAUACCAAGUUUAUGGAACUAUCCUUUAAGACCACCCUUUGUAAUAGUCAUACACCAAAUAGGUAAAUUUUCUGUCCUAUUCUGGCCCUCUGAGCCUGAGUGAACUUAAUGUUCAGUAGCAAAUGCCCUGUCAGAAAUUAUCCAGAGUCUGUGUGUAUGUACAUGCAAAUAUUUAUGUAAACACACGUGGAUACACAGACCACUCCCGUGGCAUUCUAGUUUACAAAUCCAUUCAUUUAGAUAUGGUUAGCAUGUGACAACUUCCUGAGGCUCACUACCUAGAAUAAUGUAUCACAACAGUUUCAGUAGGCAUCUUUCACUGACAUAUUUUUGGUUACAACAUACAAAUGUCUAUGUAGUUUGUGUGCACAACGUCUUAAUUAUAAUUGUCUAUCUUGAGUUCAUUCAUCUCCAGUAUGAGUUAUACCCUUAUUGUCCAAGUGUCUUAGUUUUCUUGGAAAACCCUUCUUCACACCAAAAAAUAACUGCAACUAUCCUUUCUUUCGAUGGCCAUUCUUUUUGGGUCAAUUUAAUCAAAUUCUGAAAAUAAAAAACCGUUUAGUAUCUACAGUUUAAAAAUAAUAUAAAAUAUAAACAUUUCAGAAAAUGGGCCAAUGAGGUAUUUGAAACAACUGUUUUUAAUUUUCAGAGUUUUGUAUCUAGAGAUGUUAUCCUAAAAAAAGAUAUUAGAAAAAAGUUAUCUACAAACAUGUUGUGUUUACUUGGGAAUGAGAAAUGAGGAUUAUAGAUGCAAAUGUAUGGGAUAGAAAGCCAUCAGUGCAUCCAGUCAGGGAAAGGUAAAGGGAAGCUUUUAUCAGCAAAAAGUGAGAGAUUCACAUAGGUUGCUUACAAACAGAGUUGACUGGUUCCAGAGACUCAAAGCCAGAGUUGUCAGUUCAGUGGUAGAGAUGCUGUUACCAGGAAAGCAGUCUUUCAAGAACAUCUUAUCUGAAUUACUGCAGUCCUAAAGAAGGCCUAAUGAUAAACUUUGUCAAAGCAGGAGAUGGGUGUAGGAUGUGAAAGGAUUUCCUGUGGGGGUUUUGAAGUCCUUGGGCUGGGCGCUGUGGCUCACGCCUGUAAUCCUAGCACUUUGGGAGGCCGAGGGUGGGGCAGAUCAC